rnacentral:rRNA from 1 species
AGUGAACGCUGGCGGUAGGCCUAACGCAUGCAAGUCGAACGGCAGCACAGUAAGAGCUUGCUCUUACGGGUGGCGAGUGGCGGACGGGUGAGGAAUACAUCGGAAUCUACUUUUUCGUGGGGGAUAACGUAGGGAAACUUACGCUAAUACCGCAUACGACCUACGGGUGAAAGCAGGGGAUCUUCGGACCUUGCGCGAUUGAAUGAGCCGAUGUCGGAUUAGCUAGUUGGCGGGGUAAAGGCCCACCAAGGCGACGAUCCGUAGCUGGUCUGAGAGGAUGAUCAGCCACACUGGAACUGAGACACGGUCCAGACUCCUACGGGAGGCAGCAGUGGGGAAUAUUGGACAAUGGGCGCAAGCCUGAUCCAGCCAUACCGCGUGGGUGAAGAAGGCCUUCGGGUUGUAAAGCCCUUUUGUUGGGAAAGAAAAGCAGCAGGCUAAUACCCCGCUGUUCUGACGGUACCCAAAGAAUAAGCACCGGCUAACUUCGUG